UACGGGGGGGGCAAGCGUUGUUCGGAAUUACUGGGCGUAAAGGGCUCGUAGGCGGCCAACUAAGUCAGACGUGAAAUCCCUCGGCUUAACCGGGGAACUGCGUCUGAUACUGGAUGGCUGGAGGUUGGGAGAGGGAUGCGGAAUUCCAGGUGUAGCGGUGAAAUGCGUAGAUAUCUGGAGGAACACCGGUGGCGAAGGCGGCAUCCUGGACCGGUAUUGACGCUGAGGCGCGAAAGCUAGGGGAGCAAACGGG
rnacentral:rRNA from 1 species